ensembl:lncRNA
GUGAAAAUGAAGCGCGGCCAGCAGCUGCGGAGCCGGCAGUAAGAGAGAAAUACUCAGCGCGGACUAAACGGGGGGGUCUCAAUGAACGGCGUAACCGGGGGGGCGGGGCUCCGCGCAGGCGAUGACCGGGAAGACGUGAGGUUGAUCGAUUUCUCGGAGUUUGAUUUCGCGUCCUGGUUCCCCAUCACGUAUUCCGUAUCGACUACCAAUGCCUGCUUGCCGCCGUAUGGCGCCGGUGUUUGAGUCUGUGCUGCCGUGUGGAGGCAUUUCUGCGAUUUAACGGGCGAGAGUGAGAGAACAUGGGCCGCCGUUCUUCAGACAGCGAGGAUGACAGCCAUAGUCGGAGAAAGAGGAAGCACAGACGGCGCUCCUCGUCCUCCUCCUCCAGCUCAUCAGGGAGCAGAGUGACGAGCCGAAGCAAACACUCCAGCAGGAGAAGUCGCUCCCGGUCCAGAGCCCGAGACCGAGAUCAAGAGAGAGACAGGGACCGAGAUAGGAGGCGAAGGCACCGUUCCAGCAGCAGCUCAUCCAGAGGUUCCAGCCACAGGAAGCGGAGUCGUAGCACUGACAGGGGGCGGAGCCACAGAUCCCGGAGGUCUCGCUCCCGCAGCCGAAAGAGGUCUCGUUCCCGUCACCGCAGGUCCCGCAGUAGCGGCCGGUCCAGCAGGAGGCGCAGUCGUAGCCGGAGCCGAGGCCGGGACCGCAGCCAGCGCAAGACCCGGGACAGGGAAAGAGAGAGAGGACGGGACAGAGAGCGUGAGAAAGAGAAAGAUGCAAAAGCCAAGGAAAAGGAAAAACAAGGGGACGUGGGGAACAUCAAAGCCGGAUUAGAACAUCUGACGCCGGCUGAGCAGGCCAAGGUGCGACUCCAGCUGGUGCUUCAGGCUGCAGGUAGGUGACCGUCUCCUUUUUUCUGGCAGUUCCUCCUGGUCAAGUUCAACAGAACGAAAGGAAC